rfam:Chryseobacterium chaponense strain DSM 23145 genome assembly, contig: Ga0111693_101
UACUUUUGCACCCAUUACAUAAUAAUCAUUAAAAUAAUAUUGGAAUG